rnacentral:rRNA from 1 species
GAUGAACGCUGGCGGCGUGCCUAAUACAUGCAAGUCGAGCGAACGGACGAGAAGCUUGCUUCUCUGAUGUUAGCGGCGGACGGGUGAGUAACACGUGGAUAACCUACCUAUAAGACUGGGAUAACUUCGGGAAACCGGAGCUAAUACCGGAUAAUAUUUUGAACCGCAUGGUUCAAAAGUGAAAGACGGUCUUGCUGUCACUUAUAGAUGGAUCCGCGCUGCAUUAGCUAGUUGGUAAGGUAACGGCUUACCAAGGCAACGAUGCAUAGCCGACCUGAGAGGGUGGUCGGCCACACUGGAACUGAGGCACGGUCCAGACUCCUACGGGAGGCAGCAGUAGGGAAUCUUCCGCAAUGGGCGAAAGCCUGACGGAGCAACGCCGCGUGAGUGAUGAAGGUCUUCGGAUCGUAAAACUCUGUUAUUAGGGAAGAACAUAUGUGUAAGUAACUGUGCACAUCUUGACGGUACCUAAUCAGAAAGCCACGGCUAACUACGUG